UACGAAGGGGGCUAGCGUUGCUCGGAAUUACUGGGCGUAAAGGGCGCGUAGGCGGCCCUGUUAGUCAGGCGUGAAAGUCCUGGGCUCAACCUGGGAACUGCGCUUGAUACGGCAGAGCUAGAGGAUGGAAGAGGCUCGCGGAAUUCCCAGUGUAGAGGUGAAAUUCGUAGAUAUUGGGAGGAACACCAGCGGCGAAGGCGAUCAUCUGGGGUUGUUCUGACACUGAGGAGCGAAAGCUAGGGGAGCAAACGGG
rnacentral:rRNA from 1 species